rnacentral:rRNA from 1 species
GUGAACGCUGGCGGUAGGCCUAACACAUGCAAGUCGAACGGCAGCACAGUAAGAGCUUGCUCUUACGGGUGGCGAGUGGCGGACGGGUGAUGAAUACAUCGGAAUCUACUUUUUCGUGGGGGAUAACGUAGGGAAACUUACGCUAAUACCGCAUACGACCUACGGGUGAAAGCAGGGGAUCUUCGGACCUUGCGCGAUUGAAUGAGCCGAUGUCGGAUUAGCUAGUUGGCGGGGUAAAGGCCCACCAAGGCGACGAUCCGUAGCUGGUCUGAGAGGAUGAUCAGCCACACUGGAACUGAGACACGGUCCAGACUCCUACGGGAGGCAGCAGUGGGGAAUAUUGGACAAUGGGCGCAAGCCUGAUCCAGCCAUACCGCGUGGGUGAAGAAGGCCUUCGGGUUGUAAAGCCCUUUUGUUGGGAAAGAAAAGCAGCAGGUUAAUACCCCGCUGUUCCGACGGUACCCAAAGAAUAAGCACCGGCUAACUUCGUG